rnacentral:sRNA from 1 species
GUGCAAUCGUAUUUCAGGUUGUGUCAUCAACAAAAAACAAGCUAAUCAUCUGACGCAGCCACCAGUUCCCUGGUGUUGGCGCAGUAUUCGCGCACCCCGGUCUAGCC